rnacentral:rRNA from 1 species
UGAGGAAUAUUGCACAAUGGGCGCAAGCCUGAUGCAGCGACGCCGCGUGUGGGAUGAAGGGGCUACGCCUCGUAAACCACUGUAGCCCGGGACGAAAAACGCCUUAGAGGCGUUAGACGGUACCGGGAAAGUAAGGGUCGGCUAACUACGUGCCAGCAGCCGCGGUAAUACGUAGGAGGCAAGCGUUAUCCGGAAUUACUGGGCGGAAAGGGCGUCUAGGUGGGACGUCAAGCGGGGUGUGAAAGCUCCUGGCUUAACUGGGAGAGUGCGCUCUGAACUGACGACCUAGAGGGCAGGCGACGGAGGUGGAAUUCCCGGUGGAGUGGUGGAAUGCGUAGAGAUCGGGAGGAACACCAGUGGCGAAGGCGGCCUCCGAGCCUGAACCUGACGCUGAAGCGCGAGAGCGUGGGGAGCAAACG